GACGAACGCUGGCGGCGUGCUUAACACAUGCAAGUCGAACGGAAAGGCCCUGCUUUUGUGGGGUGCUCGAGUGGCGAACGGGUGAGUAACACGUGAGUAACCUGCCCUUGACUUUGGGGUAACUUCAGGAAACUGGGGCUAAUACCGGAUAGGAGCUCCUGCUGCAUGGUGGGGGUUGGAAAGUUUCGGCGGUUGGGGAUGGACUCGCGGCUUAUCAGCUUGUUGGUGGGGUAGUGGCUUACCAAGGCUUUGAGGGGUAGCCGGCCUGAGAGGGUGACCGGCCACAUUGGGACUGAGAUACGGCCCAGACUCCUACGGGAGGCAGCAGUGGGGAAUAUUGCACAAUGGGCGGAAGCCUGAUGCAGCAACGCCGCGUGCGGGAUGACGGCCUUCGGGUUGUAAACCGCUUUCGCCUGUGACGAAGCGUGAGUGACGGUAAUGGGUAAAGAAGCACCGGCUAACUACGUG
rnacentral:rRNA from 1 species